rnacentral:tRNA from 1 species
GUUAGAGUGGCAGAGCCAGGUAAUUGCAAAAGACCUAAGUCCUUUAUACCAGAGGUUCAAAUCCUCUCUCUAAUA